rnacentral:rRNA from 1 species
UACGGGGGGGGCAAGCGUUGUUCGGAAUUACUGGGCGUAAAGGGCUCGUAGGCGGCCAACUAAGUCGGACGUGAAAUCCCUCGGCUUAACCGGGGAACUGCGUCCGAUACUGGAUGGCUUGAGUUCGGGAGAGGGAUGCGGAAUUCCAGGUGUAGCGGUGAAAUGCGUAGAUAUCUGGAGGAACACCGGUGGCGAAGGCGGCAUCCUGGACCGACACUGACGCUGAGGAGCGAUAGCCAGGGGAGCAAACGGG